GACGGAGGAUGCAAGCGUUAUCCGGAAUGAUUGGGCGUAAAGCGUCCGCAGGUGGCAGUUCAAGUCUGCUGUCAAAGACCGGGGCUUAACUUCGGAAAGGCAGUGGAAACUGAACAGCUAGAGUAUGGUAGGGGCAGAGGGAAUUCCUGGUGUAGCGGUGAAAUGCGCAGAUAUCAGGAGGAACACCAACGGCGAAGGCAGCACUCUGGGCCGGUACUGACGCUGAGGAGCGAAAGCGUGGGGAGCAAACAGG
rnacentral:rRNA from 1 species